rnacentral:ncRNA from 1 species
ACUCUAGUCUGGCACUGUAAGGAGACAUGAGAGGUGUAGCAUAAGUGGGAGAUGGCAACAUCGCCGGUGAAAUACCACUACUUUCAUCGUUUCUUUACUUACUCGGUUAGGCGGAGCGCGUGCGUCGUGGACUUUCAUCCCGGGUAAACGGCGGGAGUAACUAUGACUCUCUUAAGGAGAGCGGUUCAGUCGCACAAUGGUUCUGUUCAAAAGUGAAUAAAUGGUGGCUUCAGAGUGCCGGAGUGGACCAGAAAGUGCAUAAUCAGUGCCGCGAGU